UACGAAGGGGGCUAGCGUUGUUCGGAAUUACUGGGCGUAAAGCGCACGUAGGCGGAUAUUUAAGUCAGGGGUGAAAUCCCAGAGCUCAACUCUGGAACUGCCUUUGAUACUGGGUAUCUUGAGUAUGGAAGAGGUAAGUGGAAAUUCCGAGUGUAGAGGUGAAAUUCGUAGAUAUUCGGAGGAACACCAGUGGCGAAGGCGGCUUACUGGUCCAUUACUGACGCUGAGGUGCGAAAGCGUGGGGAGCAAACAGG
rnacentral:rRNA from 1 species